rnacentral:misc_RNA from 1 species
CUUUCCCAGUAAGGAUGGAAGCACACAAAGUCAUAGACUGGAGUAAUAGUUGACACCAAGAUGACGUUGAGUCCAGUAAACAGCAAAAGAGCUGUCAUGGGCCUUGUUCUAUGUGGCAUCUUUUAUCUCUAAGAUAUCUGCAAAACAGAACCGCAAGCGUGCCUAGCGAAGCAACAACAACAAUAACAACCGGUGGUGGAGUGUGGACGCCGGCGGCAAUAACCAGCCGAAGGAAAC